rnacentral:rRNA from 1 species
AUGAACUCGACGGCGUACUCGCGGCCGUCCAAGCUGCCGGGCGGCGCCGGCGACAGGAGGCCGCCCACGCGCCUCCGGGGCUUCGCCUCCAAGAUCGAGCCCAAGAAGCUCGGCGCCGGCCUCCUCGCCGGCUGCUGCCUCGCGCUCCUCACCUACGUCUCCCUCGCCAAGCUCUUCGCCAUCUACUCCCCCGUCUUCGCUAGCACGGCCAACACGUCCGGCCUGCUCCAGAACACCCCGCCGGCGUCGUCGUCCGUCCCGGAGACGACGGAUGCCAUCCCAGCCGAAGACACCACAUUCAUCGGCCGCGAGAACGGCAACGCCGUGGAUCCCGUCGAUUUCCCGGAGGAGGGGCCGGCGGCGGCCGGCUCUCAAGAGCCCGGCGUACCGGAGGUGCUCUCGAGGAAGGAGGACGAAGCCGAGAAGGCGGCGGAGGCGGCGACGACCUCCGUGCCAAAGCCAUCUGCGGAGGGCGGCGCCGGCGGGGAUGGGGCGGCAUUAGCAAAGAUGAGCUGCGACGAGAACGGGGUGGACGAGGGGUUCCCGUACGCGCGGCCGUCGGUGUGCGAGCUGUCCGGCGACAUCCGGAUCAGCCCCAAGCAGAAGACCAUGUACCUGGUGAACCCGUCGGGCGCCGGGGGCUUCGACGAGAACGGCGAGAAGCGGCUCCGGCCGUACGCCCGCAAGGACGACUUCCUCCUGCCCGCCGUGGUGGAGGUGACCGUCAAGUCGGUCCCCUCCGCCGCGGCCGCGCCGCAGUGCACGAAGAAGCACCGCGUGCCGGCGGUGGUGUUCUCCGUGGCCGGCUACACGGACAACUUCUUCCACGACAACACGGACGCGCUGAUCCCGCUGUUCCUGACGGCGUCGCACCUCAAGGGCGAGGUGCAGCUGCUCAUCACCAACUACAAGCCAUGGUGGGUGCAGAAGUACACGCCGGUGCUGCGCAAGCUCUCCAACUACGACCCCAUCAACUUCGACGCGGACGCCGGCGUGCACUGCUUCGCGGCGGGGUUCCUCGGCCUGUACCGCGACCGGGACCUCAUCAUCUCGCCGCACCCGACCCGCAACCCGCGCAACUACACCAUGGUGGACUACAACCGCUUCAUCCGGUCGGCCUACGCGCUCCGCCGCGACCGGCCGUCGGCGCUCGGGGAGGUGCCCGGGAUGCGGCCGCAGAUGCUGAUCAUCUCCCGCGGGGGCACGCGGAAGCUGCUGAACCUGGAGGAGGUGGCGGCGGCGGCGACGGAGCUGGGGUUCAACGUGACGGUGGCGGAGGCGGGCGCGGACGUGCCGGCGUUCGCGGCGCUGGUGAACGCGGCGGACGUGCUGCUGGCGGUGCACGGGGCCGGGCUGACGAACCAGAUCUUCCUGCCGACGCAGGCGGUGGUGGUGCAGAUCGUGCCGUGGGGGAACAUGGACUGGAUGGCCACCAACUUCUACGGGCAGCCGGCGCGGGAGAUGCAGCUCCGGUACGUGGAGUACUACGUGGACGAGGAGGAGACGAGCCUCAAGGACAAGUACCCUCGGGAGCACCUGGUGUUCAGCGACCCCAAGGCGCUGCACAAGCAGGGGUGGCAGGCGCUCGCCGAGACCAUCAUGAAGCAGGACGUGAAGGUGAACCUCACCAGGUUCCGGCCCUUCCUGCUCCAGGCCAUCGACAAGCUGCAGGAGUAG